GCCUCAGUAGCUCAGUGGCAGAGCGUUCGCUUGGUAAGCGAAAGGUCACGAGUCCGAUCCUCGUCUGGGGCU
rfam:Candidatus Altiarchaeum sp. CG2_30_32_3053 cg_3.0_sub100_scaffold_160_c, whole genome shotgun sequence.